CAAGGGUCACCCUCUGACUCUG
rnacentral:piRNA from 1 species